UUGCUUUCAGAUGUUCCAAACAACAGAAAAGC
rnacentral:piRNA from 1 species